rnacentral:rRNA from 1 species
UACGAAGGGGGCAAGCGUUGUUCGGAAUGACUGGGCGUAAAGGGCGCGUAGGCGAUUCGUUGCGUCAGAUGUGAAAGCCCCGGGCUCAACCUGGGAACUGCAUUUGAUACGGGCGGGCUUGAAUCCAAGAGAGGGUGGUGGAAUUCCCAGUGUAGAGGUGAAAUUCGUAGAUAUUGGGAAGAACACCAGUGGCGAAGGCGGCCACCUGGCUUGGUAUUGACGCUGAGGCGCGAAAGCGUGGGGAGCAAACAGG